rnacentral:rRNA from 1 species
CUCGGUACCAAUAAGAAUGUAAAUCGCGAUCGGCGCACGGCGCACGGGUGCGUAACACGUGGGUAACCUGCCCUCCAAAGGGGGAUAACCCGCCGAAAGGCGGGCUAAUACCGCAUGACAUUCCGGUGGCUUCGGCCGCCGGAAUCAAAGCCCGCAAGGGCGUUGGAGGAGGGGCCCGCGGCCGAUUAGCUUGUUGGCGAGGUAACGGCUCACCAAGGCUUUGAUCGGUAGCCGGUCUGAGAGGAUGGCCGGCCACACUGGAACUGAGACACGGUCCAGACUCCUACGGGAGGCAGCAGUGGGGAAUCUUGCGCAAUGGGCGAAAGCCUGACGCAGCGACGCCGCGUGGGGGAUGAAGCUUCUCGGAGUGUAAACCCCUUUCGACCGGGACGAAACGCCCGCAAGGGUUUGACGGUACCGGUAUAAGAAGCCCCGGCUAACUACGUGCCAGCAGCCGCGGUAAGACGUAGGGGGCCAGCGUUGCUCUGGAAUUACUGGGCGUAAAGGGUUCGUAGGCGGUGCGGUAAGUCGGAAGUGAAAUCUCUGGGCUUAACUCAGAGGCUGCUUUCGAAACUGCCGUGCUAGAGUGCGGGAGAGGCGAGUGGAAUUACAGGUGUAGCGGUGAAAUGCGUAGAUAUCUGUAGGAACACCCGUGGCGAAGGCGGCUCGCUGGACCGCAACUGACGCUGAGGAACGAAAAGCUAGGGGAGCAAACAGGAUUAGAUACCCUGGUAGUCCUAGCCCCUAAACCAUCAGGACUUGGGGGUGGCCCGCGUUGGCCGGGUCGUCCCGGAGCUAACGCGUUAAGUUCCUUGCCCCUGGGGAAGUACGGUCGCAAGGCUUGAAACUCAAAGGGAAUUGACGGGGGGGCCCGNCACAAGCGGUGGAACAU